CACUGAGCUAACACUUCUCUAACUGCAUUCUGUAAAGCUGUGAGCUGUAAUCAUUACUACUCUGUUCAUUCCAGGACUUCAGUUCAUUUUCAUUCCUUGACCUGUUGUAUGUUAGAGAAUCUCCGAGAAGAAGAAAGACUUCAUUAAAGCUAUUAAUUCUACCCCAAUGACGUCAGCAUGUCCGGAUUUGUCGGUGUUAUGGAUUGGUGAUGGAUUUUCUCCACAUCCACCGUAAAGCAUUGCCACCGUAAUCCCGACAGAUGGCGCUGUUUCAUCACAUCUCCAACACACAAACACACCUGCUCAUGAUGUGAUCAGCCAAUCAGCGUCUCAGUGCUGUAACGGAGGCUGCAGACAGAACAAAGCACC